CCUACGGGAGGCAGCAGUGGGGAAUAUUGGGCAAUGGAGGAAACUCUGACCCAGCAACGCCGCGUGAAUGAUGAAGGUUUUCGGAUUGUAAAGUCCUUUUGUUAGGGAAGAAGAAAGUGAUGUUUCCUUAGUAAGAAGCCUCUGCUAACUACGUGCCAGCAGCCGCGGUAAUACGUAGGAAGCAAUCGUUCUCAGGAAUGACUGGGCGUAAGGGGUGCGUAGGUGGUUUGACAAGUUGGUAGCGUAACACCGGGGCGCAACCUCAGCACUACUACCAAAACUGUCGGACUUGAGUGCAGGAGGGGCAAAUGGAAUUCCUGGUGUAGCGGUAGAAUGCGUAGAUAUUAAGAGGAACACUAGUGGCGAAGGCGAUUUGCUGGACUGUAACUGACACUGAGGCACGAAAGCGUGGGGAGCAAACAGGAUUAGAUACCCCUGUAGUC
rnacentral:rRNA from 1 species